rnacentral:ncRNA from 1 species
GAAUCAGCAGGAAAAGAAGACCCUGUUGAGCUUGAUUCUAGUGUGACACCGUGAAGAGUCAUGAGAGGUGUAGAAUAAAUGGGAGGGUCUGGCUGCUGGUGAAAUGCCAUUAGUCAUCAUUUCUUUUAUACUUACACAGUGAGGUGAGCCCCACAUGGGCUGUUGGUUCUGGCGUCCCAGUCCAUGGACAAUGCCAGGUGACUAGGGUAGUACAACUGGUAAAUGGUAUCGUAGGUGUCCUGUGGCAGCCUCAGGGAGGAUAGAAACUUCAAAUGGGUCAGAAGGCCAAAAGCUUGCUUAAUUUUGAUUUUCAGUAUGAAUACAGACCAUGAAAGUGAGGCCUCAUGAUCCUUCCGGCUUUUUCGAGUUUCAUGCAGGAGGUGUCAGAAAAAUUACCACAGGGAUAGCUGACUUGUGGCAGCCAAGCUUUCAUGGAGACAUCACUUUUUGAUCCUUCGUUGUCAGCGCUUCCUUUCGUUGUGAAGCAGAAUUCACCAAGCGUUCGAUUGCUCACCCACUAAUAGUGUGUGACCUAGGUUUUUAUUUUCAUGAGACAGGUUAGUUUUAUUCCAGUGAUGUUGCUGCUGUAGUAAUCGUGUUCAGUACAAUAGGAACCACAGGUUAAGAUGUUUAGUGCAUAUGCUUGGCUGAGAAGCCAGUGGUGCUACGCUACCAUCUGUGAGAUUAUGACUGAGCACGUCUAAGUCAGAAUCCUGCCUAGGUGCAAUGAUACCUAGUACUGAAGAUCCAUGGUUAUGCACAGAUAUCCAGCCCCCAUUGCAGGAGCCAAUGUUGGAGUGCCUCCCACAACUGAACCGGCACAUGGACAGGCGAGUGCCGCUCCUCUCCUGAUGACACACCAUAUUUUCGUAUGGAACUUGGUGCUAAAACCUUCGCAGAUGGCCUGAUUCUGGGUCAGGGUUUCAUAGGUAGCAGAGCAGCAGCCUCGCUGAAAUCUGUUGAAAGUCAGCCCUAUCUUCCAAUCUUUU